AUUGAACGCUGGCGGAAUGCUUUACACAUGCAAGUCGAACGGCAGCACGGGGGCAGCCCUGGUGGCGAGUGGCGAACGGGUGAGUAAUACAUCGGAACGUGCCCGGUCGUGGGGGAUAACGUAGCGAAAGUUACGCUAAUACCGCAUACGAUCUGAGGAUGAAAGCGGGGGACCUUCGGGCCUCGCGCGAUCGGAGCGGCCGAUGUCAGAUUAGGCAGUUGGUGGGGUAAAGGCCUACCAAGCCGACGAUCUGUAGCUGGUCUGAGAGGACGACCAGCCACACUGGGACUGAGACACGGCCCAGACUCCUACGGGAGGCAGCAGUGGGGAAUUUUGGACAAUGGGCGCAAGCCUGAUCCAGCCAUUCCGCGUGCAGGACGAAGGCCUUCGGGUUGUAAACUGCUUUUGUACGGAACGAAAAGGCUCUGGCUAAUACCUGGGGCUCAUGACGGUACCGUAAGAAUAAGCACCGGCUAACUACGUG
rnacentral:rRNA from 1 species